AGAGUUUGAUCAUGGCUCAGGACGAGCGCUGGCGGCGUGCUUAACACAUGCAAGUCGAGCGGUAAGGCCCUUCGGGGUACACGAGCGGCGAACGGGUGAGUAACACGUGAGCAAUCUGCCCCAUCACUUCGGGAUAACUCCGGGAAACCGGUGCUAAUACCGAAUACGACCACUUCAGGCAUCUGAUGGUGGUGGAAAGUUCCGGCGGUGAUGGAUGAGCUCGCGGCCUAUCAGCUUGUUGGUGGGGUAAUGGCCCACCAAGGCUUCGACGGGUAGCCGGCCUGAGAGGGUGACCGGCCACACUGGGACUGAGACACGGCCCAGACUCCUACGGGAGGCAGCAGUGGGGAAUAUUGGACAAUGGGCGAAAGCCUGAUCCAGCAACGCCGCGUGAGGGAUGACGGCCUUCGGGUUGUAAACCUCUUUCAGCAGGGACGAAGCGCAAGUGACGGUACCUGCAGAAGAAGCACCGGCCAACUACGUGCCAGCAGCCGCGGUAAUACGUAGGGUGCGAGCGUUGUCCGGAAUUAUUGGGCGUAAAGGGCUCGUAGGCGGUUUGUCGCGUCGGUAGUGAAAACUCAGGGCUUAACUCUGAGCCUGCUUCCGAUACGGGCAGACUAGAGGUAUGCAGGGGGAGAACGGAAUUCCUGGUGUAGCGGUGAAAUGCGCGAUAUCAGGAGGAACACCGGUGGCGAAGGCGGUUCUCUGGGCAUUACCUGACGCUGAGGAGCGAAAGUGUGGGGAGCGAACAGGAUUAGAUACCCUAGUAGUCC
rnacentral:rRNA from 1 species